AACAAACGCUGGCGGCGUGCCUAACACAUGCAAGUCGUACGAGAAAGGGUCCUUCGGGGCCUGAGUAAAGUGGCGCACGGGUGAGUAACGCGUGGAUAAUCUGCCCUUCAGUUGGGAAUAACUCAUCGAAAGGUGGGCUAAUACCGAAUAAUGCUGUGAGACCUCGGUUGAUCAGCCAAAGAGAGCCUCUGCUUGCAAGCCCUCGCUGAAGGAUGAGUCCGCGUACCAUUAGCUAGUUGGUAGGGUAAUGGCCUACCAAGGCGACGAUGGUUCGCGGGUAUGAGAGGCUGAUCAGCCACACUGGAACUGAGACACGGUCCAGACUCCUACGGGAGGCAGCAGUGAGGAAUCUUGCGCAAUGGGGGCAACCCUGACGCAGCAACGCCGCGUGAGUGAGGAAGGUCUUCGGAUCGUAAAGCUCUGUCGGAUGGAAAGAACCGCAUAGGGGUAAACAGCCCCUGUGUCUGACGGUACCAUCAAAGGAAGCACCGGCUAACUCCGUGCCAGCCGCCGCGGUAACAC
rnacentral:rRNA from 1 species